rnacentral:lncRNA from 1 species
CAAGAUGGCAGGGCCCUCAGCUCAUCCCCAAGCAGGAGAAGGCAAGAAGGUCACUUACCAGGAACAGGAGGACAGGGUCACUUUCUCAAAAGCCAGCAAGUGAAAAUGAUGUCUCCCUUGCCCAGGCUAGGGAUACAUCUCCUACUUGUCGUAGCUGACUGGGAUGCAGAAAGCAAUCUGCCUGGUGCUGAGCACUGUACUCCGUACCAAUGCCUGGGAGAGCCAAGAGCAUCUCAGGGUGAGUGAGCAGCCAAGAACACGGAGAAUGGGUGCCAAGGUAGAACUGAGCUACAUCACCUCUGUCCUCCCAGAUCCUUCCAUGUUACCAAAGCCAUUCCUUGUCACUGCCUUGGGGACACAUUCCUACGUUCCAGCCCUCUGAAACAGCCAGAGGAGCGAAGGACCCGAUUGGGCGAUUUUGCUGAAACUUAUCUCCUACGGGUUGCCCGCCUGUGCUGCGUUGGCUUGGCUGGCCGCUCGGCUUCGUGUCACUCUGUGCCCUUUAUGUGAUAUCAGAGAGCACUCUGUGAGUCUGGAGUAUGGGAAACAGCUCAUGAGUGGGAUGUGCCAUCUCUCCUCAGAUACCUGGGCACCACCGGUCCAGCUCUGCCACAGAGGAUGGUGUGGAGGGACCACUAUGCAAGAGUCUAACUCCUCAUCAUCAUGUGGGGCACACUAAGGGCCUCUCUGUAUGUAACGAUUCCGGUAAAGGAUGGGCAGGCAAACCACGAUCUGCCCUGGGUAGCCUGCUUGUUUCAUACUGCUUUCUGCCUGCUCAGACAGUCACACUGAAGGCCGAGAAGAGGGUGGGUAGAGUGAGCAGGGGGUGGGGGGGACAGCCGGGAGGAGUCUCUGGUCUCUAGCUCUGGCCUCACGUAUACGGCCACGUGACUGCUUGCCAGCUGACACCAGAGACAAAGCAGGUAGCAUUCCGAUGCCAUGCGCUCGACCAAGAACGCUGGGAAUCCAUGCCAGCAAUGGCUUGGCAUGGCUGCCAAGAGCCUGGCCCUGGGAGGAGAAGGGUCCCUAUGCUUUGUGAAAUGGGACCUGUUCUGCUAGUCUACAAUACAGAGAAGCUACUGAAAACCUACCAGUGGUUAGUUGGGGGUCCUACUGAGACAAGGAAGAAGAGGCAGAACCUGGAUUAUCACAGGGCCAUAAGAGAAGACAUCACACACACACACACACACACACACACACACACACACACACACACACACACACACACAGUGUUACCACAGUCAGAAGUGACUACUGCUAUGCUCAGCUCACCAUCCAGGAGACCACAGCCUCGCUACAGCUACGACAGGCCACCGAAGUUUUGGGACACUUGAAGUACCACAGAGGGUAGUGGGUCCUCAUCGGAUGCAGCAGCAUGCCAUAGCCUGACUAGAAUCCCCACCAACAGGCUUUUCUCUAAGUGGGCAGGCUUAGCAGUUGACACACGUGGACUAUGAUAGGCUCUUGGGUCCAUUCAGCUCAGAGCCAGCCUUGUCAGGUCCAGGUGCUAUACAGCCCAGGGACAGAUUGGCCACAGCUUUUCUUACUGCCCAAAGGGAUUGGGGAGGAGGCUGCGGCCCUGGUAUGAUUUAUAGUCACUUAAGAUGUAA